rnacentral:rRNA from 1 species
GAUGAACGCUGGCGGCGUGCCUAAUACAUGCAAGUCGAACGGAACUUCUUUAUCACCGUGUGCUUGCACUCACCGAUACGGGGGUGAGUCGCGAACGGGAGCGGAACACGUGGGCAACAUGACCUAAAGAGGGGGAUAACACUAGGAGACAGGUGCUCAUGCCGCAUAAUCAUGGUUACCGCGUGGUAGCUAUGUAAAAGGUGGCUAUACUACCGCAGUUGGUUGGGCGCGCGGCGUCUUAGCUAGGUGGUAGGGUUAAGGCUUACCAAGGCAAUGAUGGGUAGACGAAGGCAUAGGUGGAUCGGCCACAUUGGGAGUUAGACACGGCCCUUACGCCUACGGGAGGCAGCAGUAUGGUACCUUCCACAAUGGUCGAAAGUCUGAUGGAGCAACGCCGCGUGUGUUAAGAAGGUCUUCGGAGCGUAAUGCCCGGUUUUGAGUGAAGAAAGGCCGUGGGAGUUACUGAUCACGGUGUGACGGUAUCGAACAAGAAAGCACCGGCUAACUACGUG